AAAUAAAAGCAUUUGGAGGGAUUAGUUCCAAUGGUUAUUAUAACAUAAAACUUGUGUGAAGCAUUUCUUUAUUAUUAUCAUAUAUAAUAUAUUUAUUGAUUCAUCUUCUGAAUAAUUACUUCUUCGAUGAUUAAUCCUCCUUUCCAUUUUCCACUCCAAACUUCAUAAAGUCCAAAACAAAGGUUGCUAUCUCCCGAUCGAGAGUCAGUUGUUGUAAUGGUAAGAUUAUUUGGUCCAACAUAUGAUCCAUUUGAUUCAACAUUAGCAUCUUUUGUUAAAUAAAUUUUCUUCCAUGAUUGUUUUGAUCCAUAUUUUACCAUAAAAUAGAGGGGUAACUCAUUAAAUCCAAAUGAAUCUGGUGUCAAUUUCACCUUGAACUUGACUUCAUAUUUUGUGUCUUUUUCUACUUUGUCACACAACCCUGUUACCUCUAGCCAACUCACUUGUACAAGUGUUGCUGGAUCCUUUUCCUCUUUGGGUGAUUUCCAAUAUCUUCCAUCCUUUCCCCAAACGAUAUUAAAGGCUGAAGGAUAAAUUCUGAACUUGGUCCCGUUUUCUAACACCUCAGAGAUAUGAUUUCCUACAUAGUGUGAAUCCUCCAUGUUGAAUUAAAGUCUUGAUAACGUAUAAAUAUUUGAGUUUUAU
rnacentral:misc_RNA from 1 species